rnacentral:rRNA from 1 species
UACGUAGGGGGCGAGCGUUGUCCGGAAUCAUUGGGCGUAAAGAGCGUGUAGGCGGCUUGGCAAGUCUUGCGUGAAAUCCUGCGGCUCAACCGCAGGCGGUCGCAGGAAACUGCCUCGCUAGAGUCCGGAAGAGGAGAGCGGAAUUCCUGGUGUAGCGGUGGAAUGCGCAGAUAUCAGGAAGAACACCCGUGGCGAAGGCGGCUCUCUGGGACGGUACUGACGCUGAGACGCGAAAGCGUGGGGAGCGAACAGG